rnacentral:rRNA from 1 species
AAGAACCAACAGGGAUUACCUCAGUAACGGCGAGUGAAGCGGUAACAGCUCAAAUUUGAAAUCUGGCUCUUUCAGGGUCCGAGUUGUAAUUUGUAGAAGAUGCUUUGGGUGUGGCCCUGGUCUAAGUUCCUUGGAACAGGACGUCAUAGAGGGUGAGAAUCCCGUAUGUGACUAGGUGCUUUCGCCCGUGUAAAGCUCUUUCGACGAGUCGAGUUGUUUGGGAAUGCAGCUCAAAAUGGGUGGUAAAUUUCAUCUAAAGCUAAAUAUUGGCCAGAGACCGAUAGCGCACAAGUAGAGUGAUCGAAAGAUGAAAAGCACUUUGGAAAGAGAGUUAAACAGUACGUGAAAUUGUUGAAAGGGAAGCGCUUGCAACCAGACUUAGUUGCGGCCGAUCAUCUAGGGUUCUCCCUGGUGCACUCGGUCGUAAGUAGGCCAGCAUCGGUUUGGGUGGUGGGAUAAAGGCCUUGGGAAUGUAGCUUCUUUCGGGGAGUGUUAUAGCCCUCGGUGCAAUGCCGCCUACCUGGACCGAGGACCGCGCUUCGGCUAGGAUGCUGGCGUAAUGGUUGUAAGCGACCCGUCUUGAAACACGGACCAAGGAGUCUAACAUCUAUGCGAGUAUUUGGGUGUUAAACCCAUAUGCGUAAUGAAAGUGAACGGAGGUGAGAACCCUUAAGGGUGCAUCAUCGACCGAUCCUGAUGUCUUCGGAUGGAUUUGAGUAAGAGCAUAGCUGUUGGGACCCGAAAGAUGGUGAACUAUGCCUAAAUAGGGUGAAGCCAGAGGAAACUCUGGUGGAGGCUCGCAGCGGUUCUGACGUGCAAAUCGAUCGUCAAAUUUGGGUAUAGGGGCGAAAGACUAAUCGAACCAUC